AUGAGAUUGGUGUUCCCACUGUAAUUUUCGUUUCUGUAAGUUGGAUUACCAAAACAAUGGGGUUCUAAUAAGGACCAUCUUCUUAUUAAGGACCAGAUAAAUAUUUUUCAUUUAAUGGUUUAUUACACCCAUUUUUCAAGCAUAUUUUUCCAUCUCAAUGGUACAUAUAAAUAGAUCACUUCAACCACCACAUGUGGUCGAGUUGGUAAGAGCCUAGGUGUGGAACCCCAUACCUAAGUUCGAAUCUCAGCCGACGCUAACUGGAGUUAAAUCCCAAUUUAUUUUUGUGGCUAGAGGGAAGGAAGCGUUCUGACAUAAUCCCUCGGCGCAGAUUAGUCUCUAGGCCUGAAAAGCCUUUGAGGAUACCGUCGUUGAAACUCUACAAAAAAAAAAAAUAGAUCACUUAUAUAAAUUUUCAGCUAAAUUAGUAAUCGUUAAGAGAUCGAACUAAAUCAAAUUAAUAGACGAUCUAAAUCUGUCAAACAUGAACCGUUUAAGUUUAUAAUUGGUAAAUCAUAUUUAUGAAUGGCUUAAUGAUUUUUAAUUUAAAUAAAAGUUUGUAGAGAUGAUCUACCCAUAUAUAUCUACAAACUAGACUGUCGAGAUGUGAAUAUGAG
rnacentral:lncRNA from 1 species